rnacentral:lncRNA from 1 species
GUUUCUCCAAAAAAAAUACCACCGCAAGUCGUCUCCCUUCGCCUCGCCGUCUUCGCCAUCUCCGCCUCGCCAUCUCCCUGUCGCCUCUCGCCGUCUCCCUCUCGUCUGUUGUCGUCUCCUUCUCGCCUUUCAACAAACUCAAGCUUUCUGUCGCCUCUCGCCGUCUCCCUCUCGUCUGUUGUCAUCUCCCUCUCGCCUUUCAACAAACUCAAGCUUUCAACCGGCGAACUCAGGCUCUGAAUGAGCUCAGCCUCUCAGAUCCUCGCCGGCUCCGUUUUUCCGGUGGACGUUCUUUGACUCCCUCUCGGAUCUCUACCGGCAAAGUAUCAGCUUUCUACCACCUGAAAUCUCGUCAGCUUCUCUCCAUUUCCGUCAUGGAUGCACCGCAGGAGGUAUUAUUAGUUAGUCGAUUUUAAUACCGUCGCAUAAAAUUGUAAUAUCGUCGUUGCAAAUCGAAAAAUACCAUCGUGAUUUGAGUAUAUUGUUAGAAUAUUUGAAAAUAUCGGUCGAUGGUAUUUUAAACUUUUCCGGAGGUAUUUUUUUCUUUUCCGGCGGUAUUCUAAGUUUUCUGAUAGUAUAUAUUUUAGAUUAAAUAGAUAACAAGCGUGAUUGUACUUGUUUAUGUCUAUUUGAGUUGGAGAAAUUCAAAUAACUAAUGUGAGAUUAGUAAUAAUAUAAUUGAAUUGGGUUAUUAUGAAAAUCAUUAAUAGAUUCGAAACCCAAUGUGUAUAUAGCAUAGUUGAUAUUAGUGCAGUCCAUAUUGCAAAAUUUGACUUCAAUUCAAAAUUUAGAACAUAAUUUAGUGUGCUGUUUCGUAAGUUAAUUUAUAUGUAACACUAAAAUUAAAUUGAUUUAUGUAGCCAACUUGCUUUAUAGUAUGUGCAAUAAAAUGGUGCAAAGUGAAAAAUAAAAUGGUGCAAAGUGACUAUUCGAAUAUAAUAAACCAACUUUAGAGUUGAAAAAUGAAAAGAUUAGAUAGUUUUGUUGCUAUAAAAUGGUGCAAAGUUAACAGAAUAAAGUGUACCUUGAGAAUUCCUUGAGAAUAAUACCAUGUAACGUGUUCAUUAUAUAUUAUCAUUAUUUAAGAAUUAAUAUUGGAAUGUGAUAUGAAAGAUGAAUGUUUUAUUUUUUAGAGGAGAUAUAAUGUUUUCAUUGUUGUUAGAAUUGUUAUAUAUAUGCUUAAUAAUUAUUACAAUAAAUUGGCUCAAAAUGUUAUAAAAGAGGUCUAGGGGUUCGUUGUAUAAAUAAGCUAAAUAAUAAUGUACUUACAAAAAAAAAAAAAAAAGCAACUAUGAUUGGAGAAAUUGACAUGUUGGUUUAUUAAAAGCUAAAACUGACUUGACAAGAUAAUGUGUUGUAUUUUUCAUGAGAGAAUAUUAUACAGAUUGGAAAAAUAGAUUAUAUAUAUAAGAAGGGAAAGUUUUUGUUUUAAUAUUAUUUUACAAUUGUAAGUGUUACAUUUAAUAUUAUAAUUUGUUUUUAAUGAUUUUUAUUUUUAAAUUAUAGGAGAAUUCUAUUUAUUUGAGGCCGAGUACAAUUAAUGUGGCUUCACAUGUUGGGACGUAUAAAUUGA